rnacentral:lncRNA from 10 species
ACCACUUUAGCCUCUUGUUGGAAAACAAUGAAGAAAAUAGCUACCAUUAAUGGAGCUCCUGCUCUGUGCCAGGGACUGUGCCAUGUACUUCACUCUGAGAAGCAAGGGCCCUGCUUAUCCCCAUUUGAAAUGGGAAAAAGCCUCUGAUUAAACCGCUUGCCCAAGUCUCCUGGCAGUAAGUGGUGGAGCAGGAUUUCGUCCCAGCCUCAUGCUGUUUCCACAUCCCCACAGUGGCCCCGGGCUGUGCUCCUUCCCUGGACCUGAGCUUCACUAUUGGACCAGAUGAGCCUCUCGGAUCCAUCCCAGCCUGGCACGUCUAGAUCCUGCCUCCCAACGCAGGCUGCUGAGAUGUUCACUUGAAUCUCUCACCAUGGACAUUACCCAAACAUUACCUAAUGUUUUCCAGAGAGAAGAAUCCUAUUUCUUUCUGUGUUUUAGAUUCCAAACCAAAAAGGGACAUAAUUGUGUGGUGAAAAUAACAAGGGACUUCAAAUCAGAAAACCCAGGCUCAGAUCCUGGCUCUAAUAUUUACCAGUCAUGUCAUUUUAGGGUUACAGCCUUUCCAAAUACCUUUCCCCUAAUCUGUAAAGUGGAGAUCAUAAUAACUACCUCAGCAGGAUGUUACGAAGACCAAGUGAGAAGCCUGGCAUCUGGCAGGUACUCAAGAAACAAAAAUACAAGCCCACAAAACAAAAACCACCACAAGACACUUCAUGCCUCUGUCCUCCUAGUUUCUAUGGAGAGGUAUAAGACUUUUGUCUCUACCUCAUUUCAUUUACAAGGACUUCCCACUAAAAAGUGAACCAGAGAUGCUCUAGACAAAGUUAAUUGCCAGAGACCUCUCAGUAUAUGUAUGACUAAACCCAAACAAAUAACCUGAAGAAAAUGUUCUCUUUUUCAGUGAAAUAAAAGUAAUUCCCAUUCAGACAGAUCUGGUUAGAAU